UAGGGAAUCUUCCACAAUGGACGCAAGUCUGAUGGAGCAACGCCGCGUGAGUGAAGAAGGUUUUCGGACCGUAAAGCUCUGUUGUUGGUGAAGAAGGAUAGAGGUAGUAACUGGCCUUUAUUUGACGGUAAUCAACCAGAAAGUCACGGCUAACUACGUGCCAGCAGCCGCGGUAAUACGUAGGUGGCAAGCGUUGUCCGGAUUUAUUGGGCGUAAAGCGAGCGCAGGCGGAAGAAUAAGUCUGAUGUGAAAGCCCUCGGCUUAACCGAGGAAUUGCAUCGGAAACUGUUUUUCUUGAGUGCAGAAGAGGAGAGUAGAACUCCAUGUGUAGCGGUGGAAUGCGUAGAUAUAUGGAAGAAUACCAGGGGCGAAGGCGGCUCUCUGGUCUGCAACUGACGCUGAGGCUCGAAAGCAUGGGUAGCGAACAGGAUUAGAUACCCUGGUAGUCCAUGCCGUAAACGAUGAGUGCUAAGUGUUGGGAGGCUUCCGCCUCUCAGUGCUGCAGCUAACGCAUUAAGCACUCCGCCUGGGGGAGUACGACCGCAAGGUUGAAAC
rnacentral:rRNA from 1 species